rnacentral:rRNA from 1 species
GGGUUCGAUUAUGGCUCAGGAUGAACGCUGGCGGCGUGCUUAACACAUGCAAGUCGAACGAACCUUCGGGUUAGUGGCGGACGGGUGAGUAACGCGUGGGAAUCUGCCCUCAGGAGGGGGAUAACGGCCGGAAACGGCCGCUAAUACCCCAUAUGCCGAGAGGUGAAAUGAAUUUCGCCUGAGGAUGAGCCCGCGUCUGAUUAGCUAGUUGGUGAGGUAAGAGCUCACCAAGGCAUCGAUCAGUAGCUGGUCUGAGAGGAUGAUCAGCCACACUGGGACUGAGACACGGCCCAGACUCCUACGGGAGGCAGCAGUGGGGAAUUUUCCGCAAUGGGCGAAAGCCUGACGGAGCAACGCCGCGUGAGGGAUGAAGGCCUCUGGGCUGUAAACCUCUUUUAUCAAGGAAGAAGAUCUGACGGUACUUGAUGAAUAAGCCACGGCUAAUUCCGUGC